GAUCCAGUAGCAAAUAAUCCUGGACCCUCACAGUAAUAUUAACGACAUAAAUACACCAUUUCUGGCUAGGCAUGUUUGAAAAGGUAAACCACAUUCACUUAACGAACUCCUAAAACCAAACGCGUGUUGUUGGACUGACUGCUAAGUUGAGUACAAACUGAGAUACAUAUUUCAACUCUGUUAUGGGAAAAAUAUCACUGUGAGCAAUGAUUACUGUAAAUAAUCUGGGUUGAAGCUAAACCGAUUUUGGAAAAGGAAUGUCAUGGGUUCCGACACAAAAAAAAUAUUUUUCUUGGCAGAAAGCAGAAGAAUGUUAACUGUAAAUAAUCUGGUGUUGUGCUGUGCCAGCUAAGGAG